rnacentral:rRNA from 1 species
UUAACCUGGAAUCAAAUAGGGAUACCCGCUGAACUUAAGCAUAUCAAUAAGCGGAGGA